rnacentral:lncRNA from 1 species
GGAAACUUGCCAUCAAAGAAUAAGUACUAAAUGAUUUUAUUAAUUUGUAAAUAGCUCAUCAUUGGGAGGAUUAAAUACAAUCUUCUUGUUAAAGCAAUCUAUGGUGGCAUGAUAUGCCGCUAGCCAAUCCAUUCCUAAGAUUACAUCAAAAUCCCCCGUGUCUAAACCUAUCAGGUCUACACUCAGUUUCCUAUUUGCUAUCUCCACGGCACAAGCCCUGUAGAUAACUUCCCCUAAUAGUGUUUCACCCCCAGCAGUAGACACAAAUAACAAUGAAUCAAGUUUAUUAGGUGAUACAUUAAGUUUGGAAGCAAAAACAUGUGAAACAAAUGAAUGUGAUGCACCAGUGUCAAAUAAAACAUGAGCAAUAUGGUCACAGAUAGUGUACAUACCAUGUACUACGUCUGGGUCGGCGUUGGCAUCCUGCUGGGUAAGGUUGUAAACCCUGC